rnacentral:misc_RNA from 1 species
GCAGAGUUUUGAUCAUCCAACUGAUACCCUUUUGCCUACUCAACGUCUAGAAGCUGGUUCAGAGCUGGUUUCUGCUGUUUCAGAAACUAAUCACUCAACAGGAAUUUUCCGCCUCAGGAUGCAAACGGAUGGAAACCUCGUGCAGUAUCCGGUGGAAACCCCUGAAACUGCUCCAUAUGCUUAUUGGUCAUCCGGUACGUAUGGAAAUGGGAAUAACGUGACACUAAAUUUUGAUUAUGAUGGCCGUCUCUACCUGCUCAAUUCCACAGGUUUCAACAUAAGAAAAAUCACUCCAGGAGGGUAUCCCACAAAAGAAACAAUUUUUGUUAUGAGAAUUGAUUUUGAUGGGAUAUUCAGA